UUUGAUCAUGGCUCAGAUUGAACGCUGGCGGCAUGCCUUACACAUGCAAGUCGAACGGUAACAGGUCUUCGGACGCUGACGAGUGGCGAACGGGUGAGUAAUACAUCGGAACGUGCCCAGUCGUGGGGGAUAACUACUCGAAAGAGUAGCUAAUACCGCAUACGAUCUGAGGAUGAAAGCGGGGGACCUUCGGGCCUCGCGCGAUUGGAGCGGCCGAUGGCAGAUUAGGUAGUUGGUGGGAUAAAAGCUUACCAAGCCGACGAUCUGUAGCUGGUCUGAGAGGACGACCAGCCACACUGGGACUGAGACACGGCCCAGACUCCUACGGGAGGCAGCAGUGGGGAAUUUUGGACAAUGGGCGAAAGCCUGAUCCAGCAAUGCCGCGUGCAGGAUGAAGGCCUUCGGGUUGUAAACUGCUUUUGUACGGAACGAAAAAGCUUCUCCUAAUACGAGAGGCCCAUGACGGUACCGUAAGAAUAAGCACCGGCUAACUACGUGCCAGCAGCCGCGGUAAUACGUAGGGUGCGAGCGUUAAUCGGAAUUACUGGGCGUAAAGCGUGCGCAGGCGGUUAUGUAAGACAGAUGUGAAAUCCCCGGGCUCAACCUGGGAACUGCAUUUGUGAC
rnacentral:rRNA from 1 species